rnacentral:lncRNA from 1 species
UUCAGCUGCCCGAGGCGGAAUGCAUCAGGAAUAUGAACAUAGCACUUAAACCCGAUUACUCUGAGAAGAGAGCAGUCUGGAACCUUGUUCGAUAACAAUUCCAUUGGAGACUUUCUUUCCAGGAGACGAAACUCUAUUUCUCACAUACAUAGCUGUCAUGACUGCUUUAGCCCAAAAGAUUUUCCGAAGAUUCAUGUCAAUCAUCAUUGCCCUGGUCAUGUCAAGCAGAUGGCGUCCUUUUUGUGACUCGCUGUGGAGUAGAUGCACCUUCUAUGAACAAUCCCUUUCGACUCCAGAAACUAACUUUGCAAACUCUUAUUACAUUACAUGAAUGAACCUCC